AUUGAACGCUGGCGGCAGGCCUAACACAUGCAAGUCGAGCGAGCGGCGGACGGGUGAGUAAUGUCUGGGAAACUGCCUGAUGGAGGGGGAUAACUACUGGAAACGGUAGCUAAUACCGCAUACCAUCAGAUGUGCCAAGCUGGGAUUAGCUAGUAGGUGGGGUAACGGCUCACCUAGGCGACGAUCCCUAGCUGGUCUGAGAGGAUGACCAGCCCCACUGGAACUGUGACACGGUCCAGACUGCUCCGGGAGGCAGCAGUGGGGAAUAUUGCACGAUGGGCGCAGGCCUGAUGCAGCCAUGCCGCAAGUGUGAAGAAGGCCUUCGGGUUGUAAAGCGCUGUCAGCGGGAAGGCGUUACCCGCAGAAGAAGCACCGGCUAACUCCGUGCCAGCAGCCGCGGUAAUAC
rnacentral:rRNA from 1 species